GGGGUUGUGGCUCAGUGGUAGAGUGCCUGUAGGCAUGAGGCCCUGGGUUCAAUCCCCAGCACCACA
rnacentral:tRNA from 1 species